CUUGGGGCUAUAGCUCAGUUGCAGAGCACCUGCUUUGCAUGCAGAAGGUCCCAGAUUCAAUCUUCUGCGUCUCCAAGA